GCAAUCAAGGCAUACCAGAAUUAGUCUAUUUCACUGCUGGCUGUUUAAGAUCAGUACAUUUAUAAGGUUAGAUGAUGAUGGUAAGUGGUGUUUUAGAGCUGGGUGAAGAUUCAGGUGAUAGGGAGUUUUAAAUAGUUUCAUAUACGAAAGAUGUGCAGAAAGUAUGAGUUGCGUCUGUCUCAUCAGUAACACUUGGGUAUCUAUUUUUAUGUGUGUGUGUGUGUGUGUGUGUGUGUGUGUGUGUGUGUGUGUGUGUGUGUGUGUGUGUGUGUGUGUGUGUUUACCUAGUUGUGAAAUACAGGAAAAGAGCUGUACUAGGCUCGUGCUGUCCCGUCUCCAUAACGCUUAUUAUCCAGUUUGGCUUUAAAUUCAUGAAUCGUUUUUGCACACACAGUCUCCUCGUCAAGUCUGUUCCAUUGUGUGUGUGUGUGUGUGUGUGUGUGUGUGUGUGUGUGUGUGUGUGUGUGUAUUUACCUAGUUGUACUUUUACAGGGCCUGGGCUUCCACUCAUGUGGUCCAGUCUCCAUAUCUGUAUUUGUCCAGCUUUUCCUUAAAGGUGUGCACACACUUCGCCGAUACUACAUCCUCACUUAGGCUGUUCCAAACCUCUAUGUUUCUUUGUGGGAAGCUAUAUUUCUUUAUGUCUCUCAAGCAUCUUCCUUUCCUCAACUUUCUACUGUGCCCUCGUGUGUUGCUGACGUUUCUUCCUUCUCUUAAUAGUAACUCCUCAUUGUCUACUUCCUCCAUUUUAAUCAAUAGUGUGUGUAUGUGUGUGAUUCAAUGGUUGAGGUGGUGCACAGUGGUCUAGUGGGUUAGUGUCAAGCCAUGGAAGUAAAGAGCCAGGACAAGACAGUUCAAACCCCAGUGCUGCUGUGUGGUGUCAGGAAGGGCAUCAGGUCCUACACCCCAAGCCACAUUCUCAAAACAGUAACCCCCUCCCCAUUUUUUUUUUAGGCCCAUAUCAUCGGUAGUUUUCUAACUCCAUAUGAACAUGGUUAAAUGCUGUCAAGAGAAAGAAAAGGAAGAGAAUGUAGUGCUUGAAGAUAGUGAAGCAAUGUAUUAUAAUUGUGGAUUUAGGUACUGCUGAUUAGAAUAUGAAUGUAGUGUUUGAAGAUUGUGAUACAGCAUGUAAGAGAGUUAUGAGCUAGGCACUGGACUGUAUCAGGCUAUAUAUUUAUGGAGGCCAAGUUUAUUCUCCAUUAUAUUGUAUAGAGGUAUUGUGUGAGUGCGUGUUCUGUUAUUGCAGUAUAGGCUUGCUUACAUUAGGAGGGAAGAGAGCAGUAUACAAAUAAGAGAAUGACAAAGAAGGUAAGUUCAUCUAUGCCCAGGACACAGAAAGGAGGUUCAAAUAAGAGAAUGACAAAGAAGGUAAGUUUAUCAAUGCCCAGAGCACAGAAAGGAGGUUCAAAUAAGAAAAUGAUAAAGAAGGUAAGUUCAUCUAUGCCCAGGACACAGAAAGGAGGUUCAAAUAAGAGAAUGACAAAGAAGGUAAGUUCAUCUAUGCCCAGGACACAGAAAGGAGGUUCAAAUAAGAAAAUGACAAAGAAGGUAAGUUCAUCUAUGCCCAGGACACAGAAAGGAGGUUCAAAUAAGAGAAUGACAAAGAAGGUAAGUUUAUCUAUGCCCAGGACACAGAAAGGAGGUUCAAAUAAGAAAAUGACAAGAAGGUAAGUUCAUCUAUGCCCAGGACACAAAGUAGGUUCAAAUCAGAAAAUAAUAAAAUGCAAAUAAAAAAUGACAAAGGUUGAAAUAGGAAAAUGAUGACAAAAGUAAAUUCAGAUAAGAAAAUGAAACAAGGUAAGUCUCCUCAGUAGACAUGAUCAUACAGGUGUACAAUGCCUUGGUUAAUGGUGCUGAGAGUGCUCCAGUAACCUGCUGCCGGUAUCUUAAGACCCUUCUUAUCACCUUCACUUCUUUCCGUGAAGAUCUUGUAAAGCUUUAGAUAUAAGUUACAGAUCAUUAUUUUCCUUUGCUUGUUUUGUGUUUUCUGCUGAAUAGAUCAUUUUUCAACUUGAACUAAAUCUCCGGCAGAAGACCCUCAUAUUGUAGAGAAAUCUUGGUGUAUACAGAAUAUAUACUCUAAAGAUCUUACUUACUUUAAAGCUAAGAAAGAAACAAGGUAAAAAAUCGGUGUUUGGUAGGUGGUGGGUUUUCACUUCUGCUUCCAGUGGGCCCUGCAGGAUGGCACAUUGGAGACAUUAGCCAAUAGAUGGUGACUGAAAGCGGGGAGACAAAUGGUGGUCUUUAUUCUUGAAGGGGUUAAAGCAUCACCAAUAGGAGUCUGAGUGUCCUUUUAUUCCCUAAUCCCUACUGACGUUCACCUUGUGCAUUGACCCUUUUAUACAAUCAUUUUAUGUUUAGAAGGUUCUCGUGAACUCUACUCUUUAAGUUCCGAUACCCUACGCCCCUGUCCACCCAGCAGUGAAUGGGUACCAGGUAUUAAUUGGGGGUUGUGUCCCGUCUCCUGUGAUCUGUUCCCUUCCCCUAUAAUUCCUUCCCCUUCUGUCUCUCUCCGGCAUAUGACUUCAGAUGUUGCACCGACUAAACAAAACUUUCCAACUUCUACUCAUUAAGAGGGUAGCCAAAUCUAGAAUUAAGGACUAGAUAAUGACAGGUUACAUUAUAACUUCCCAGGACCAACAAAAGUAAAUAAGGCAAGUCUAAAAUUAAGUACUAGAUAAUGACAGGUUAUACAAGAACUUUCUAGUGCCAAUAAAGGAAAGCAACCUG